UACGUAGGCAGCGAGCGUUGUUCGGAGUUACUGGGCGUAAAGAGUGCGUAGGCGGUUUUCUAAGUUUGGUGUGAAAUCUCCCGGCUUAACUGGGAGGGUGCGCCGAAGACUGGAAGGCUUGAGUAUGGGAGAGGUAAGCGGAAUUCCUGGUGUAGCGGUGAAAUGCGUAGAUAUCAGGAGGAACACCAAUAGCGAAGGCAGCUCGCUGGGACGAUACUGACGCUAAGGCGCGAAAGCGUGGGGAGCGAACAGG
rnacentral:rRNA from 1 species